GUGGGAUCCUGGAGACACUUUGAUGUCAACCUUGUAAUGUGGGGGAAAGAAAUGUUUAAGUUUCACUCUCAGACAGAGACCAAUCACAGUCGCCAUACUACAAUGCUGAAUAGUCGGAGUGAAAGUUAUCAGGAUACGCCCUAGCUUCUCAUCGACGGUGAUCGAUUCCUCCGAGAGAACACUAAGCUGCUCUAACGAAUAUGGAUGCUCCGGAUCUCUAAUAUCCCUCACGAAAUCGUAGAUUUCGAGAGGAUCGACGGCGUCGUCACCGUGGAAGUCCUCUGAGCGAGCGAUCCGCUCCUUCUUGGCGUGAACCACCGGGUUCGCAUUGAUAAGCCCAAGCGUCAUCCUUCUUCUUCUUCUU
rnacentral:misc_RNA from 1 species